rnacentral:tRNA from 2 species
GGAAGGGUGGCCGAGUGGUUUAAGGCUCCAGUCUUGAAAACUGGCGUGCGGGCAACUGCACCGUGGGUUCAAAUCCCACCCCUUCCG